CCGCCGGAGCCGGAGCACGCGCUGCGCAGGACCCCCUCCUGGAGCAGCCUCCUGGGACCUGAGCACCAAGAGAUGAGCUUCCUAGAGCAAGGAGAUAGCACUUCAUGGCCGUCACCAGCCAUGACCACCAGCUCAGAAAGAAGCCAUGGGGAACAGGGGACCAAGGCUUCAAGAUGGACAAGGCAGGAGGAUGUAGAGGAAGGGGAGCCGCCAGGCCUGGGGGAAGGUCUCCAGUCCAGGCCAGCUGCUGAGUCCACCGGGCUGGAGGCCACAUUCCCCAAGGCCACACCCUGGACCCAAGCUGCUCCCUUGGCUGGGGUGGGCUCCCCCACAGCAGAGCGGGACAUCCUCCCCCCUGACUGUGCAGCCUCAGCCUCCAGCUCCAGCACAGACGAUCUGGAUGUGGGCAUAGAGUUCUCAGCCACAGCAGCCUGGGGCGAUGAGCUCGGCCUGGUGGAAGAGAGGCCGGCCCCAUGCCCGUCCCCGCAGGCACUGUUACCCAGGCUGAGCUGGGACGAUGAGCUGCAGAAGCCAGGGGCCCAGGUCUACAUGCACUUCAUGCAGGAGCACACCUGCUACGAUGCCAUGGCAACCAGCUCCAAGAUAGUCAUCUUCGACACCAUGCUGCAGAUCAAGAAGGCCUUCUUCGCCCUGGUGGCCAAUGGCGUCCGGGCGGCACCUCUGUGGGACAGCAAGAAGCAGAGCUUUGUGGGGAUGCUGACCAUCACAGACUUCAUCUUGGUGCUGCACCGCUAUUACAGGUCCCCCCUGGUCCAGAUCUAUGAGAUUGAAGAACAUAAGAUUGAGACCUGGAGGGAGAUCUACCUUCAAGGCUCCUUCAAGCCUCUGGUCUCCAUCUCUCCCAGUGACAGCCUGUUCGAAGCCGUCUAUACCCUCAUCAAGAACCGGAUCCACCGCCUGCCGGUCCUGGACCCAGUCUCAGGCGCUGUGCUCCACAUCCUCACACACAAGCGGCUGCUCAAGUUCCUGCACAUCUUUGGCACCCUGCUGCCCAGGCCCUCCUUCCUCUCCUGCACCAUCCAAGAUGUGGGCAUCGGCACGUUCCGAGACUUGGCCAUGGUGCUAGAAACGGCACCCAUCCUGACCGCACUGGACAUCUUUGUGGACCGGCGCGUGUCUGCACUGCCUGUGGUCAACGAAGCUGGACAGGUCGUGGGCCUCUACUCCCGCUUUGAUGUGAUUCACCUGGCAGCCCAACAAACAUACAAUCACCUGGAUGUGAGUGUGGGAGAAGCACUGAGGCAGAGGACACUGUGUCUGGAGAAAGUCGUUUCCUGCCAGCCCCACGAGACCUUGGGGGAAGUCAUCGACCGGAUUGUCCAGGAGCAGGUGCACCGGCUGGUGCUCGUGGAUGAGACCCAGCACCUCCUGGGUGUGGUGUCCCUCUCCGACAUCCUUCAGGCUCUGGUGCUGAGCCCUGCUGGCAUCGACGCCCUCGGGGCAUGAGAGCAUCAGAGUCUUCACUCUUAGGCCACCUUCCACACCCGGAAGCCAGCGAAGGGAGCCGGGGACUCGGCCUUCACCUCCCCCCACCCCCCUUUUGCUGGUUCGGCUCUUGUUCAGGCUUCUGCAGCCCUUCCCAAUUGCCCUGCCCUGCCUGUGCUCCCAGAAGACCUCAGGAAUGCCUGGUCCACCAUGGAAUGAUGAAAUUAAGAACAGCUGAGUCAAGCCUGGAGCUCUCUGAACCAGAGGCACUAGGAUUACCCCAGGGCUGACUGAUUUGUACCACCCACACUGCUCUCCCCCUACCUGGCCCCGGUGGGGUGGGGAGCCCUCAGUCCAUGGGUUCAGGAAGGGGUUCUGGAUUCCUCGGCUUCUGGACUACCUGACACCCGUGCCCCCAGCUCCUGGGGGUCCCAGGUGUGCUUCCCCCAUGGAAACUGCCCUAGCGGUUCCUCACAACUUUGCCACUGCCCUCCUACUCCCCCAGCAUUGCCUUUCAGGGCUGCCUAUGGGUCCCCACAGAGCAGCAGUUUUGUAGAGCUGCCUGUUGGAGAGGUCCCCCCUCCUUUCUCAUCCUUAGCUCUCACCAGCAAGCAGUGUUCUCAGUCCCCAGGGAGGGCCUGUGUUUGGAUCACUGAGGAUGAACCAUCGAGAAAACAAAAAGAAAAAGAACAGCCCGUGAACUUAGAUUUUAUAACUUUCACUCAGAAAAUGCUAUGGUCAUUUGAUCUGAACCUGCGGCAAGAUCCCUGUCCUUUCUGAAUUCAAUGACACCCGAAGGAAAAUCUGUAAUUGACAAACACUGCAAGUGGCGUUUCCUUUGCUUGUGGAGUGUUAUUCCACCGAAAUUUCUUUUUCAUCUUUUAUUUACAGCGAAACUCUAAAGAAAAUGUUAGUUACUUACAUAGUGGGUACAACUCAGUCCACAAACUCUAACAUGUAAGAAACGUAACUUAAUUUUUCUAACA